AUGACGAACCAGCAGCAGACGGAGGGAUGUGAGCUGAUCCCUGCCGGGCCGCUGUGCCUCACGGGAGAAUCUCAUCGCCACAGUGUGAAUGGGUAAGAAGUGAAUACACAGUUCAAUGAGCCAAAUGAAUUUAUUUUCUCCACCAGACGCUCGAGGACAUUUACGAGCUGGUCCAGCCGCUCGUUGAUCCCUGCGAUCCCCCUGAUGAUUUCUUCCUGCGAUUGCAGGACCGCCUCAGUGAGGACCCUUCCACUGCGUCCGGGUGGUCCGGCGGAAGCGCCGCGGCUGGUGGACGCUCCACCGCUUGUCGGCGCACUGGUGCUGGUGCUGAUGCUGGUGCUGGGUCCGGGGUGGCCCGAAUGCCGCUGGUCCUGGCCGACGACUCCGAGCCGGCGGACGGGCUGCCGCGGGCCGGGGUUCCGCAAGCCGGCGACACGGCCGACACAUUGAUUUCUG